UACAGAGGUCUCGAGCGUUAGGCGGAAUCACUGGGCUUAAAGCGUGUGUAGGCGGAUGCCUAAGUACCUUGUGAAAUCCCACAGCUUAACUGUGGAACUGCUUGGUAUACUGGGUGUCUUGAGCCACUCAGGGGCGAGCGGAACAAAUGGUGGAGCGGUGAAAUGCGUAGAUAUCAUUUGGAACGCCAAUGGUGAAAACAGCUCGCUGGGGGUGUGCUGACGCUGGAGACACGAAAGCCAGGGGAGCGAACGGG
rnacentral:rRNA from 1 species